GAUGAACGCUGGCGGCGUGCCUAAUACAUGCAAGUAGAACGCUGAAGCUUGGUGCUUGCACCGAGCGGAUGAGUUGCGAACGGGUGAGUAACGCGUAGGUAACCUGCCUCUUAGCGGGGGAUAACUAUUGGAAACGAUAGCUAAUACCGCAUAAAAGUCGAUAUCGCAUGAUAUUGAUUUGAAAGGUGCAAUUGCAUCACUAAGAGAUGGACCUGCGUUGUAUUAGCUAGUUGGUGAGGUAACGGCUCACCAAGGCGACGAUACAUAGCCGACCUGAGAGGGUGAUCGGCCACACUGGGACUGAGACACGGCCCAGACUCCUACGGGAGGCAGCAGUAGGGAAUCUUCGGCAAUGGGGGCAACCCUGACCGAGCAACGCCGCGUGAGUGAAGAAGGUUUUCGGAUCGUAAAGCUCUGUUGUGAGAGAAGAACGAGUGUGAGAGUGGAAAGUUCACACUGUGACGGAACUACCAGA
rnacentral:rRNA from 1 species